GUAAAGCGCACGCAGGCGGUCUGUCAAGUCGGAUGUGAAAUCCCCGGGUUUCAACCUGGGAACUGCAUUCGAAACUGGCAGGCUAGAGUCUUGUAGAGGGGGGUAGAAUUCCAGGUGUAGCGGUGAAAUGCGUAGAGAUCUGGAGGAAUACCGGUGGCGAAGGCGGCCCCCUGGACAAAGACUGACGCUCAGGUGCGAAAGCGUGGGGAGCAAACAGGAUUAGAUACCCUGGUAGUCCACGCCGUAAACGAUGUCGAUUUGGAGGUUGUGCCCUUGAGGCGUGGCUUCCGGAGCUAACGCGUUAAAUCGACCGCCUGGGGAGUACGGCCGCAAGGUUAAAACUCAAAUGAAUUGACGGGGGCCCGCACAAGCGGUGGAGCAUGUGGUUUAAUUCGAUGCAACGCGAAGAACCUUACCUGGUCUUGACAUCCACAGAACUUUCCAGAGAUG
rnacentral:rRNA from 1 species